AAGUAGUUAACUCAGUAGUAGAGUAUUUGUUUUACAAGCAAUUAGUCACUGGUUCAAUUCCAGUACUACUUA
rnacentral:tRNA from 1 species